CUUUUGACGAGGAGCCUUCCCAGAAUCAACAUCAGCAACCGUAGCCAGAUGAUCCGGCGCUGCUGAUGGGCCUAGCCCAGAUCCUCCAUCACAGUCCAUCGCCCGCACGGCCCGAAGUUGCUGUCGCCUAUGCAGAUUAUAUCCGGCCCAGACAGCGCAGCAUUUGCUUCUUCCCGGAUAGGAUCGCGAAGUGGUGCAGUGCGAUACGCC